GACGGACGCUGGCGGCGUGCUUAACACAUGCAAGUCGAACGGAAAGGCCCCAGCUUGCUGGGGUACUCGAGUGGCGAACGGGUGAGUAGCACGUGGGUGAUCUGCCCUGCACUCUGGGAUAAGCCCGGGAAACUGGGUCUAAUACCGGAUAGGACCGUGCUUUAGUGUGUGCGGUGGAAAGUUUUUCGGUGCAGGAUGAGCCCGCGGCCUAUCAGCUUGUUGGUGGGGUAAUGGCCUACCAAGGCGGCGACGGGUAGCCGGCCUGAGAGGGUGUACGGCCACAUUGGGACUGAGACACGGCCCAGACUCCUACGGGAGGCAGCAGUGGGGAAUAUUGCACAAUGGGCGCAAGCCUGAUGCAGCGACGCCGCGUGGGGGAUGACGGCCUUCGGGUUGUAAACCCCUUUCGGCAGGGACGAAGCUUUUGUGACGGUACCUGCAUAAGAAGCACCGGCUAACUACGUG
rnacentral:rRNA from 1 species